AUGGACAUAAUACACAAAAUAUAAACGUAGACCAACACUCUACACUAAAAGAGAUAAAAAAUAACGCCUAGAGGAGGAGGGAAAUUCUGAGGAGAAGCUUCAGCUGCGCUGAACUCCAAACAAAGAACCCCACCCCCGAAAACUCCAUCUUUUUCACACCACCCCUCCCCCCCAGAAAAACUCGAUCUCACACUAAAACCAUCUUACCUCCCAUAUAGAACAUCUACGAAAUUGCUCAAAAUCUGGCCAAAAGAAAUGAAAUCCACCAAAAUAGUAGCGACAAAAAAGGAGUAUCAAACAGUCCCAAUCAGUUAAAACUCUGGCGAAAAUCAGUCGAGUACUCGAGUUCCGUCGAAGGAUCUGAAGAGUUGGUUUUGUUUGAAGUUCCGAUUUUAAUAGAAGAUCGUAGGUUCUGAUUUCUAGUUCAGUUUUCAGGGAGUUCAUCCACGCUGUAUUGUUUAGUUAUGUGGAUUUGGAAGGAUCUCUAUUUAUUUUCAAGGGAAGUGUUCAACCGCGAUUUUAGUUUAUUGUUAUGUACCGCAGAAAUACAAGUCAAUUACUCUGUUCUUGUUUUAAUAAUGAUUUUAAACACAAUUACUUUUCACUUGCUUUCAGUGUUUGGGCUGAUUUGAACAUAUCUUGUUUUGCUCUUGAAAAAUGUUUGCAGACUUGAAGCUUAUGUGUGAUUGAUUAUUUGUUGAUAAGAGUAAUUCAAUAUCUUAGAAUUAACUGUUUAGAUCCUAAUAUUCUUCUACUGGUUUGGAUUGUUAUGCGAAAGUUCUUUUUCGCAAAGUCAGACCGUGGCUAUUCUCGUGCACUUGCUUCAGUAAAGUGUUCUUUGUGUAAGGUUCA
rnacentral:lncRNA from 1 species